rnacentral:snoRNA from 1 species
CGUGCCAUGCUAAACUGAGCCAUGCGAAAACUCUAACCACGCGGGCUACAGGUAGAAUGCGCACGCAGACCAAAAUGUUUCAAUAUCCUAGUGUCUGAAGCGCAACUCUUCUUACUCUCUUGGAACUUGAAACUACA